GGGCUCGUAGGUGAUCUGGCUGAGACAUCUGUAAUCCCGUGGUUGCCUGGUUUCACUCAGAGGAUCUGUAUGGCUAGGUGGGUGAGCCCUUCCUCCCUCGAUGCUCUGCUCCAUGUACAUCCUUCCUGAAGCUGAACUGUCCACUAAAGAGGAGGGUCUUCCCUGAUAGAAUAAGAUCAUUUUUACAUUUGC
rnacentral:snRNA from 1 species